rnacentral:rRNA from 1 species
UACGGGGGGAGCAAGCGUUGUUCGGAUUUACUGGGCGUAAAGGGCGCGUAGGCGGUCAGCACAAGUCAGUUGUGAAAUCUCCGGGCUUAACCCGGAAAGGUCAACUGAUACUGUGCGACUAGAGUGCGGAAGGGGCAACUGGAAUUCUCGGUGUAGCGGUGAAAUGCGUAGAUAUCGAGAGGAACACCUGCGGCGAAGGCGGGUUGCUGGGCCGACACUGACGCUGAUGCGCGAAAGCUAGGGGAGCGAACGGG